ensembl:lncRNA
CCCUUUCCAGACCUCAUUUGAGUGUUGGCAGUGGAUUCAUAACUAUUUUGCUCGAGGUCCUUGUGUAUCUGAGGCCUUCUAAAGAGCAUAUUUGGACUUCUUCUGUAAAGAUGUUAUCUGAUUUAUGGCAGUACCUUCUGUGAUGCCUGCUAGGCACUGACUUUUCACCUGACCAUUGGAAACAGCUGCAGACGAGUAACAAAACUGGCACUUAAUUCCAGCGAGUGGGAGGUCAAUGCAACAUCUGUCUUGUCUUCUGCUUAUUUGCACGACUGCACUUUUUUCCUCUUUUGCUGGUUAAAGAUUCUCUCAAGCAUUUCAGUAAUGCUUGCCUCACUGCAUGUUUUGUUAGGUUUUAAGGUUUCUGCAACUCUUUUAAGACUUCUUUUAUUUUAAGCAAAGUGGGUAAAGUGAAUGCAGACUUUUCAGCUUAUGUAUCUAAAGAGUUUAUAUAUCUCCUAGAGUUUGGAUUAUGAUAAUAAAAUCUGUUGGAAGUAGGUUUAUGAAAUGUACGUGUAUGAAAAAAUAUAUAGUGACUAUUUCUACAGAUACUACAGUAGCAACACUAAGAGAAAAAAAUAGCGUAUAACUGUUCAGCUUCACUGUAACUUGUCUGAUGUAUCUUUUAUCCUCAGACCUUAUUCUCUGUCAGUGCUAUGAACUGACAAAACUAUCUUUCUGAAAUAACAUGAAGCCUGAGGAAUUUGGCUAAUAUUGCCUAUCUAGUACCAUAAAGGAAAGAUUAAGUAUCUAAAGUUGGAACAUGAUAAUACCUUUUAAGGCGAUUUCUGAAUUCUCCAGUAAAAGUCCUGAAGUUACUGAACUUCAAAUAAUGUGUUUAGUUAUCAUUGGUUGUCCCUUUACACUGUGAGAAAAAUCUACAGAUCUGUGUUUGUGUUAUCUGCAAAGUACACUUGCAAGGUUGGUGAGUGCCAGACUCAGUGCUCUAUUGCAGUGAAGCAUUCAAAUUCACUGUCUCUAUGCACUGCCCUCAGAGCAGGCUGUUAUGUGGAUGCAUCUCCCACCACUUUUGCAUGGCAGGAAGGAAGCAACGUGAGUGGAAGGGAGGGGGUGAGAAAGCUGUGAAACUAGGUACUUCCAGUGUAGAAGUACACAGUGAUACUGAUUUUUUUUUUUUUCAAUUAAUUGUUGUUGUACCUCAGUCGUAAACUUAGGUAUCUGCCAAGGUUAGGAGGCUGUGACAUAAACAUAUAAAGAAAAGGUGGUACAACAUGUUAGGGAAGAUAAAUUUCUCUCUGAAAAAGAAAUCAGUGGGACUCAAUUUCCAAUUGCUUUUGUGAAUAUCAACACUGUCUGAUAUUUAGCGUUACACAACCAAAUCAGCAUGAGUUAGAAU